rnacentral:rRNA from 1 species
UACGUAGGGGGCAAGCGUUGUCCGGAAUCAUUGGGCGUAAAGAGCGUGUAGGCGGCCAGAUAAGUCCGCUGUGAAAUCUCGAGGCUCAACUUCGAGCUGUCGGUGGAAACUGUCUGGCUAGAGUCCGGAAGAGGAGAAUGGAAUUCCUGGUGUAGCGGUGAAAUGCGCAGAUAUCGAAGGAAGAACCAGCCCGUAGGGCGGAAGGCGGGUUCUCCUGGGCCUUAGCCUGACGACUGGAGGAGCGAAAGCCGGUGGGGAGCGAACAGGA